UGAGACAGGUGUGUGCAUGGUUGUCGUCAGCUCGUGUCGUGAGAUGUUGGGUUAAGUCCCGCAACGAGCGCAACCCUUAUCUUCAGUAGCCAGCAAUUCGGUUGGGCACUCUGGAGAGACUGCCCGGGGUAACCUGGGAGGAAGGUGGGGAUGACGUCAAAUCAUCAUGCCCCUUAUGAUUUGGGCUUCCCACGUGGCUACAAGGGGUAAACCAAAGGAAGCCAACCUGGGAGGGUGAACAAAUCCCAAAAAUAACGUCCCAAUUCGGAUUGGAGUCUGCAACUCCACUACCUGAAGCUGGAAUCCCUAGUAAUCCCGAAUCAACAUGGCGCGGUGAAUACCUUCCCGGGUCUUGGACACACCGAA
rnacentral:rRNA from 1 species